rnacentral:lncRNA from 1 species
CAGUAAGGGGGUGGAAAGAACUGUUAGUUGCUGUUGGAGUCAUUUGAGACAAGGGAAAAACAGGAGUAGGUUAGUGUGUUGACCCUGAGCCUUGGAAUGGAUGAAAAUGGAAGGAAAAAGCAACCAAAGAGUAAACUCUUUUGCCUACAGAUACCAUGCUUAGAAUGACUGGAGGCGGAUGGAAUAAUUCAAAAAAUCUUGAAUGAGGGCCUGAAGCUGCUUCUAUCACUGGAAAUUCAAGAGUCAGAGCACGUUUGAAAGAAAUUCCUCAUCAUCCACAGCUAUCAUUUAGGACUAGCCUGAAGCGAUCUUCAAAGAAGUUUUGAAUCCCUGGAAUCUUCUGUAGGCUCUUCUCAAGCAACACCUUCUUUUCCAUUCUCUGUUUGCUAGCAUCUUCCUCCCACUAUUACUUUGGGUAUAUCUUGGAUUUGC